rnacentral:lncRNA from 1 species
AUUUCAUUGAUCGUAUUACGUCCUUUUAAUCAGAUUAAACUGAAAAGCAAACUUUAUAUAUCCUGCAAUAAUGCCAGAGUAAUUGGGAGAAGAAUAAGCAGUAAAUACUGGAGCUGUACGCCACAUAUUCACGUCUCUUGAGCACUGUGCUUUAUCUCUGCGUGCAGUUCUCUUGUCUACCAGAACGAGGCGCUGUUGUACAAGGGGAUGCAUACUCUAUUUGGUUGCGGGAAAUAUGUUUUAUUUUCUAAAUUAAGAAAUGACCGAAAACUUUUAAUGUAUCCCGUGUUUCAGACUGUAUCAGCAGACACUUUUAAAUGAAGAUGUUUUCGCCGACAGAGCCGACGAUCAUAUGUUUGAUCGGGAUGGUGUUAUGUCAUUUUUCCGACUGCUUUACAAACUAGCAGAAGAAGAGCUAUGGAGCGGAUGGAGGUGGACCAGUGCGCAGGCGCAGGAGGAGCCCUCCGAAGGUCGAACAGCGCCCCCAUGAUCACGAACGUCAGCGACGGGACGACAGUAUUCAGCCCUAAUAGUUCGGCUCGGUAUCGUCGAAGCAGCGUUUCUGUAAACCCGAGCUGUCCCUCACGGAUCCUUCCUCUGUCCCCGUUCUCCCUGCCAUGUGAAAGAUCCGAACACAAGAGACAGGUUGAGAAUAUGGAGCUCACCUUGAGGGGGAGCUUGCAGAGACUAAGCGCCUCGCCUGCUGUUCCCUUCCCUCCUGCGAGUCAUUGGCAUGACCAUCUGUCUCCAGGAUUCCAUUCCCAGGACAGCGGUGUCACUCCUAAUUCCUCACCCAGUCCAAUUCGAAGGUUUCGAGGAGGAUCUGUGAGCUCUGGAGUGAGAUGGCCAUCAGUUGCACCUUUGAAAAGGAAAGGAGGAGUGGAAUCGGACGGUCCUCCCAAAAAGCUCUUUGUUGCUGGAGUCACAGACCCUGCUCACAUAACCAGUUACACAGUCAGUGUUUCCCAGUCAGUGGACUCUUCCUCUGGGACUGCUCCUGUCGAUUCAAUCCCCCAGGCCACCCCCCUGUGCCUCUCCUCUCCGUCCCCCUUCACCUCUCACCACCCCAGCAUCUAA